CCGCCCGUAGUUCAGUUGGCAGAGCAGUGGGGUGGUUCCUCACGGUGCCAGGUUCAAGUCCCGGCGGUCGCU